UGGGGAAUAUUGCACAAUGGGCGGAAGCCUGAUGCAGCGACGCCGCGUGAGGGAUGGAGGCCUUCGGGUUGUAAACCUCUUUCAGUAAGGGUGAAGGCUCUCUUUUGUGGAGGGUUGACAGUACUUGCAGAAGAAGCGCCGGCUAACUACGUGCCAGCAGCCGCGGUAAUACGUAGGGCGCGAGCGUUGUCCGGAAUUAUUGGGCGUAAAGGGCUUGUAGGUGGCGUGUCGCGUCUGCUGUGAAAUUCCAGGGCUUAACUUUGGGAUUGCAGUGGGUACGGGCAUGCUAGAGUGCAGUAGGGGAGAUUGGAAUUCCUGGUGUAGCGGUGAAAUGCGCAGAUAUCAGGAGGAACACCGGUGGCGAAGGCGGGUCUCUGGGCUGUUACUGACGCUGAGGAGCGAAAGCGUGGGGAGCGAACAGG
rnacentral:rRNA from 1 species